UAAUCUUUUACAUUCUGCUGUGGAAAGUAGGGUGCAGAAAGGAGACAGGAGUUAUUUGACAUCCACAGCGAGUCAGGUACAAAGCUGGGCUUGACCAUGGGUCUCCUGGCUUCUACUCAAGGGCCUGUCAUCUGCCCCACAGGUAGUCAUUCUGUUACAUACAUGCUUAAUAAACAAACAUCUGGUUUUUUUUGUUGUUGUUGUUUGUUUUGCUGUGCCACGUGUCACCUUAGUUCCCCGAACAGGGAUCGAACCCGUGCCCCCUGCAGUGGAAGCGUGGAGUCUUAACCACUGGACCGCCAGGGGAGCCCCAAUAAACAAAGAACUGUGCAGUAGAACAACACCCCCUGAGCAACAGAGGUGCUUCUCUGUUUGCAGAGCCAAAUCCAGGUGGAGGUUUUGCUUUGCCAAAAGUCCCUGAAAAACUGGAAGAUUUUCACAUACUUGGAAGGGGCACUUCUCCCAAAUUAAGGGAGCCCGUAAGCCACAGCUUAAAUCCUGUGACACCACACUGAAGACAAGGACUGGGAAAAUAAUUGCCAGGAGAUUAAUUUGCCCCAUGCCACACUGGGAUUUCGCUUCAUUGCCUGCGAACCAUAUUCCUUCAACUCACAGGGUGGUUAAGAAUCUGCCUGCCAAUGCAGGGGACACGGGUUCGAACCC